GCGGGCCGCGGGAGGGCGGAGGGAGUUGGCGAUCGCGACCACGGUCUCCUGGUAUCCCCGGGCUGGGUGGGUGUGGGGACCCCUGACACCACCGACUCCGCGCCAUUGCAAACCUGCGCACUCGGGUUCCACGGGCUGUCUGCGAGGUGGGCGCUGCGUUCUCGUUUCACAGGCGAGGAGGCUUAGAGAGACGAAGCCACUUGACCAAGGUCACGCAGCUGGUGUGUAAGAAGGAUCAGAGGAGAUAAUGCAUGUGGAAUUGCUGUGUAAUAUCCCUACCCUGAGGACACGGAAGGAUUAUGGUUACUGUUUCAAAGGAUGGAAGGAGGCAGAGGGGCGGGUGGGGAAGAGGAGAUGAGCAGUCACAAAGAAAGGUGAACAUGCUCUGACCCCAGGCCCUUCUGGAUGGGGAGUGAGGUGAGGAGUAGACAGCAGGCUUUUCUCCCCUUUGGAGAAAACCUCACCCCCUUUUCUGGGCCGCCCCUCAGGGUCUCCAUCACCCAACUCCAUGCUUCGAGUCCUGCUCUCUGCCCAGGCCUCUGCUGCUCGGCUGUCUGGCCUGCUGCUGCUCCCGCCAGUACAAACCUGUUGUCUGGGGCCCAGCAAGUGGGGGGACCGGCCUUCUGGAGGAGGCCCCCAUGCAGGCCCUGUGCAGGGGCUGCAGCGGCUUCUGGAACAGGCGAGGAGCCCUGGGGAGCUGCUGCGCUGGCUGGGCCAGAACCCUACCAAGGUGCGCGCCCACCACUACCCUGUGGCACUUCGGCGUCUGGGCCAGCUCUUGGGGUCUCGGCCACAACCCCCUCCUGUGGAGCAGACCACACUGCAGGACUUGAGUCAGCUCAUCAUCCGAAACUGCCCCUCCUUUGACAUUCACACCAUCCACGUGUGUCUGCACCUUGCAGUCUUACUUGGCUUCCCCUCCGAUGGGCCCCUGGUGUGCGCCCUGGAGCGAGAGCGAAGGUUCCGCCUCCCUCCGAAGCCACCUCCCCCUUUGCAGCCUGUCCUUCGUGGUGGGCAAAGGUUGGAAGCUGCUCUGAGCUGCCCCCGUUUCCUGCGGCAUCCACAGCAGCACCUCGUCCGCAGCCUAGCAGAGGCCAGGCCAGAGGAGCUGACUCCCCAUGUGAUGGUGCUCCUGGCCCAGCACCUGGCCCGGCACCGGCUGCGGGAGCCCCAGCUUCUGGAAGCCAUUGCCCACUUCCUAGUGGUCCAGGAAGCCCAGCUCAACAGCAAGGUGGUACAGAAGUUGGUCCUGCCCUUUGGGCGGCUGAACUACUUGCCCCUGGAACAGCAGUUUAUGCCCUGCCUUGAGAGGAUCCUGGCUCGGGAAGCAGGGGUGGCCCCGCUGGCCACUGUCAACAUCUUGAUGUCACUGUGCCAGCUGCGGUGUCUACCUUUCCGAGCCCUGCACUUUGUCUUUUCCCCAGGUUUCAUCAACCACAUCAGUGGCACCCCUCAUGCCCUGAUUGUGCGGCGCUACCUCUCCCUGCUGGACACGGCUGUGGAACUGGAGCUCCCAGGAUACCAGGGUCCCCGCCUUCCCCGAAGGCAGAAAGUGCCCAUCUUCCCCCAGCCACUCAUCACCGACCGUGCCCGCUGCAAGUACAGUCACAAGGAUAUAGUAGCAGAGGGGCUGCGCCAGCUGCUGGGGGAAGAAAAAUACCGCCAGGACCUGACCGUGCCUCCAGGCUACUGCACAGAUUUCCUGCUGUGUGUCAGCAGCUCUGGUGCUGUGCUUCCCGUGAGGACCCAGGACCCCUUCCUGCCAUACCCUCCCAGGUCCUGUCCCCAGGGCCAGGCUGCCUCUCAGCCCACUACCCGAGACCCUGCCCAAAGGGUGGUGCUGAUGCUGCGGGAACGCUGGCAUUUCUGCCGGGACGGCAGAGUGCUGCUGGGCUCCCGAGCCCUGCGGGAGCGACACCUGGGCCUGAUGGGCUACCAGCUCCUGCCGCUACCCUUCGAGGAACUGGAGUCACAGAGAGGCCUGCCCCAGCUCAAGAGCUACCUAAGGCAGAAGCUCCAAGCCUUGGGCCUCCGCUGGGGGCCUGAAGGGGGAGACAGAAGACCAGGAAUAGGAGGGGGCUGAAGCACUUUACUGUGGGGGAUGCGGGUGAGCACCACCAUGCGGAGCGGCACUGUGAGGAUGAGGAUGAAGGGGAAGGCCAGGGAAGCAGCUGUGGACAUGACCGCCCAGAGCAGGGCCAGGCAGAGCAGCUGCAGGGCUGUGAACAGGCGCCACAGCCUUGCUCAUGACGGUGAGCGCGUUGGCGUGAGUGACGGAGCGGACGGUGGCAGCAGCCAGCCACGGCAGGCCAAAGA